GCCACCGUAGCUCAACCUGGCAGAGCAGCAGUUUUGUAAACUGCAGGUUAAGGGUUCAAUUCCCUUCGGUGGCU
rnacentral:tRNA from 1 species